rnacentral:rRNA from 1 species
UACAGAGGUCCCAAGCGUUGUUCGGAUUCACUGGGCGUAAAGGGUGCGUAGGCGGUCGGGUAAGUCUGAUGUGAAAUCUCACAGCUUAACUGUGAAACUGCAUUGGAUACUAUCCGGCUCGAGGAAUGGAGGGGAGACUGGAAUACUUGGUGUAGCAGUGAAAUGCGUAGAUAUCAAGUGGAACACCAGUGGCGAAGGCGAGUCUCUGGACAGUUCCUGACACUGAGGCACGAAGGCCAGGGGAGCAAACGGG